UCCCUCUCAGGAUCACACCUGGAGAGUUUCCAGUGCUCUACCAGCCUCGGCUACGAGAGGGAGAGUCGAGCAGAGGCAUACCGAUUGCAUUUCUAGCUUGGGCAGUGGCUAGCGCGUGGAAGGUAAUCUGCUACAAGU